GCAUGGAAAGUUAACUCAGCUGGUUACAGUGUGGUGCUGAUAAUGCCAAGGUUGUGGGUUCGAUUCCCAUUCAGGCC